GCGCUCGCGCGCCGUACCGGCCUUCGGCCUGGCGCUCCGCGAGGGCGCGGCACGAGCCGCGACGGCCGGUUGGCCUUGCGAGACGUGCGUCUCGUUGGCGAAAGCCGAUUUACGGCGCAGUCUUAGGGCUUGUAGCUCAGUUGGUUAGAGCGCGCGCUUGAUAAGCGUGAGGUCGGAGGUUCAAGUCCUCCCAGGCCCACCACUUCUCCUCGAUAUCUAUGGGGAAAACAAUCAGGGGCCGUAGCUCAGCUGGGAGAGCGCCCGCUUUGCAAGCAGGAUGUCGUCGGUUCGAUCCCGUCCGGCUCCACCACUCGCGCAAUCCGCAGGAUUGUCGCUUCCAGCCGCUGUUUUGCGGUUCGGCGAGCGCGCAAUCCCGAAGGGAUCGUGGCGGUUCGCGACGAUCCUAUGGAUCGCGCGGAGGUGUCGAGUAGAGAUGAGGCGUCAGAGAAAAAGUCAUUCGUAAAAAGGUUUUGUGGUGAGCGUCUAGCUUGCCGCUUGUUCUGUUUGACAUUGUAAAGAGAAGAUUUGUUCGAACUUCAUGAGCUUGAAAAGGUUUGUGAUUUGUCGCGGGAGACGCUCAAUCUCCCGCAUAUGAUGGGCUUGCCUAACCGCACCCUCGAACCGAUCUCGAGAAGCUGGUCUUUUUGUGCCAAU
rnacentral:tRNA from 1 species